rnacentral:rRNA from 1 species
GUAGGUGGCAAGCGUUGUCCGGAUUUAUUGGGCGUAAAGCGAGUGCAGGCGGUUCAAUAAGUCUGAUGUGAAAGCCUUCGGCUCAACCGGAGAAUUGCAUCAGAAACUGUUGAACUUGAGUGCAGAAGAGGAGAGUGGAACUCCAUGUGUAGCGGUGGAAUGCGUAGAUAUAUGGAAGAACACCAGUGGCGAAGGCGGCUCUCUGGUCUGCAACUGACGCUAAGGCUCGAAAGCAUGGGUAGCGAACAGGAUUAGAUACCCUGGUAGUCCAUGCCGUAAACGAUGAGUGCUAAGUGUUGGGAGGUUUCCGCCUCUCAGUGCUGCAGCUAACGCAUUAAGCACUCCGCCUGGGGAGUACGACCGCAAGGUAG